ACAAAAAUAUGGUAAAUUUUAAAAGUUUGACUCAUAUGCAUUCAUAAAAAAAAAAAAGCCUUGGUUGCAUUUUGGCAAGAGUUUCACGUUAAGUUCAGCCUUUAUUAAACUGUCCGUUGGCGUUUGUCGGUCCCUGAUGAUUAUUUUGAAUAAAACUUUCGUCAUCGAUCCAUCGGCCUUCAUUCUCUGGCAAUAUGCUCCAAUACGCAACAUGACUAUACAAAAAUGUUGCCAAAUUCUUCGGCAGUAAAAAUGUUACUACCAGCUUUUAGUCCAGCCGCUUCAGACAAAGCCAGGUCAGUGGACCUAUGCCUUCAAGUGUGACGCUGUAGUUACACCUGCAGCAUCAUUUCUGGAAGGUAGGUCAGAUUUUGGGGGUUGGUUGAAGGUCGUACACAACACUUUCUGCCAGGAGAUCGAGGUUUGUAUGUUAAAUUUUCACUACACCAUUAUCGCGGUCAGACAAAUUCACGAUAACAAUAUAAUAGCGAUAGCUGUAGAAAUGUGAAAGAAACUGUGAGCAAGCUAAUAAAACUUUAGCUUUACUUACGGCGUGUUUUGUCUCUUUUUCGGCAAAUUAAUUAUUCUAAAAAAAAAAAAAGACCAUAGGGAGGAGAGAAAACAAAGUACACUGAAUGAAACAUUACCAUCAAGCACUCAAUUACUGGUGAAAAGCAACCAGAUGAAAGAACAUCUCUGCUGGAUUAGUCAUGCUAUUAUAUGUGUGUGUUGUUCACACAGUGUCAAUAUUUCAUUUCAAUAUCACGGUGAUCAUGAAUGUCAGGAUAUUAUGACACCAACUGACACGCAUUGAAUUGUUUUUAAGUUAUAUUAAGUAGCUAACCGACAUAAAUACCAUAAUAGAAAUAACAUGAGUGUUAUUUUCACUCAAAGCAGGAUUUUAUUUUUUAAAUUAACUCAGUAGUUUUGUUGCAUGAACUUGAUUGACCUGAUGAUUGUUUGACAACGUUAAUAACAGUCCAAAAGACAUCAUUUGUCGAAAUAAUAUGUGAAAUGUUGGUCAGCAAGCUCUACUUUCAAAGUCUAACUGGAUGUUAAAAGUAGUGUUUGUGCGUUGGAGCGCUUCUUGUGCAAACAUGUCCGGACUAAGCUGCCAUGUUUGAGCAGUCACGUGAGAAUGUGUUGGUCUACAUUUAUGUAAUACUAAUUAACAACAGCUGAUGUGUUUUGGAGGAAAUGUCAUGCCAGCUGGAUUAGAAACGUUGUGAAGUAUGGACACCGAUCGUUUGUUACGGUUAUGCAUUCACAACUCGAGGCAAAUAUUAUAAACAGUGUUUUCAAUUUUAACUGUUGGUGGCUCUUGUGUUCUCCCAGUCUGGGUGGUCAAAGUCUACAGUCGUGGGUGUGUGUGAAUGUAGUUUUUGCUUUCUUUUGUUCCUUGUUUUGGUGUCUGUGUUCUGCUCUCUCCCUCUUUCUCCUCUGGGAGCCUGUGGUGGGCGUGGUCACGGAGGAUCCUGCCAACACACCUGCAGAUCAUCAUCCUGCAAUCAACUCACCUACAUAGAUCCUGACCAGCCUCCAAGACCCGGCCGGAUCGUUGAAUCAGUUCCUACCAGCAGUCCAGAGCCUGACCCAGUCUGCCUGCCAGCACAGUCGACUUUGAGCCUGGAGCCUGAACGCAUCCUCCACUCUCUGACGCCAUGAAAACACCUGCCAUGCUAACCUCAACCUGAACUGUGCUAAUUUUCAAUAAAUUCUCUUGUCCUUAACAUCA